rnacentral:rRNA from 1 species
CCGCGNGUGUGAAGAAGGCCUGCGGGUUGUAAAGCACCUUCAGUAGGGAAGAAAAGCCUAAGGCUAAUAUCCUUGAGUCUUGACGUUACCUACAGAAGAAGCACCGGCUAACUCCGUGCCAGCAGCCGCGGUAAUACGGAGGGUGCGAGCGUUAAUCGGAAUUACUGGGCGUAAAGCGUGCGUAGGCGGUUGAGUCAGUCAGAUGUGAAAGCCCUGGGCUUAACCUGGGAACUGCAUCUGAUACUGCUUAGCUAGAGUCUGGUAGAUCUAUGGAGAGAGGGUUGUGGAAUUUCCAGUGUAGAGGUGAAAUUCGUAGAUAUUGGAAAGAACACCGGUGGCGAAGGCGGCACACCUGCUCCAUUACUNACGCUGAGGCGCGAAAGCGUGGGGANCAAACAGGAUUAGANACCCUGNUAUUCCACGCUNUAAACGAUGUGUGUUGNAUGUUGGGGUGCUUAGNACUUCAGUGUCGUAGCUAACGCGGUAAGCACNCCGCCUGGGGAGUACGGCCGCAAGGUUGAAACUCAAAGGAAUUGACGGGGGCCCNCACAAGCGGUGGAGCAUGUGGUUUAAUUUGAAGCAACGCGCAGAACCUUACCAGNCUUUGACAUNGUGAGUACCNGUCCAGAGAUAGACUUUCCCNCAAGGGGCUCCNGACACAGGUGCUGCAUGGCUUUCUUCAGUUGGUUUCGUGAGAUGUUGGGUUAAUUCCCGCAAGGAGCGCAACCCUGNCCUUACAGUUGCCAGNAUGUUUGGGUGGGAAUUUUGANGGAACUNCCGGUNACAACCCGGAGGAAGGUGGGGAUAACUUCAAUUCUUCAUGNCCCUUANGUCCUGGGUAANAAACGUGNNACAAUGGCCGGUGAACAAGUGGGAAGCCAACNGGUGACACCGAGCUGAUCUCAAAAAGCCGUUUCAGUUCGGNUUGCANUUUGCAAAUUGANUNCAUGNAGGUGGNAUUGGUNGUAAUUGCGGNUNAGCAUNCCNCGGUGANUACAUUCNCNGGCCCUGUACACACCNCCCNUCACACNNUGGGANUUGGUUUGACNUUAAGUUGGUGCGCUAACCCGCNAGGGAGGCAGCCANCCACGGUCGGGUCAGAGACUGGGGUGAAGUCGUAACAAGGUAGCCGU